UACUUUGGUUAUCUAGCUGUAUGAGUAAGUUACUGGCUUCAUAAAGCUAGGUUACCAAAGCU
rnacentral:pre_miRNA from 10 species